AAAAAGACAAACACUGGGUUUCUGUGUCCAAUAUAAAUAUUAAUUUUAUUUACGAUUAAUAUUUUUAUUGUUAUUAUAUGAUAAAACAUGAAUAGUAUUUUAUGUGCGACUAACUUUUUUUAAUUUUCUCAUAAAUUUUUCAAAUAAGACGGGCGGUCAAACGUUGGACACGGAUUUCCACGGCUGCACUUAUU
rfam:Oryza glumipatula chromosome 7, whole genome shotgun sequence.